rnacentral:rRNA from 1 species
ACAUGCCUACAACAUAGUGUUAAUGCAUUGGAUCCGAUUAGAUCUCCACAAUUAAGCAUGGUCAGGCUAGAGUAGUACUGGGAUCAUUGACUACCCGGGAAGUCCUAGUGUUUUACAUGCC